rnacentral:tRNA from 1 species
GCUCAGGUGGCGAAAUUGGUAGACGCGCAGCCUUGAGGGGGCUGUGGAUAUUAUAUCCGUGCUGGUUCAAAUCCAGUUCUGGGCACAA